UACGUAGGGUGCGAGCGUUGUCCGGAAUUAUUGGGCGUAAAGGGCUCGUAGGCGGUCUGUUGCGUCGGGAGUGAAAACUCAGGGCUUAACCCUGAGCCUGCUUCCGAUACGGGCAGACUAGAGGUAUGCAGGGGAGAACGGAAUUCCUGGUGUAGCGGUGAAGUGCGCAGAUAUCAGGAGGAACACCGGUGGCGAAGGCGGUUCUCUGGGCAUUACCUGACGCUGAGGAGCGAAAGUGUGGGGAGCGAACAGG
rnacentral:rRNA from 1 species